CCUUCUCUCUUCCUAAAGUUUGGGGGACAGAGCUAUUUCAGCGGAUAAAAGCAGGCUUAUUAGGGGGCACCCGGAUUUGAACCAGGGACCUCUUGAUCUGCAAUCAAAUGCUCUACCCUGAGCUAUACCCCUUUCCUGGGGUGUGUGCUCCCCACCCUCACCAGCACACUGUUGUUCCUGCUCAUCCCUAGUCUUUCCUGGGCACCUGGCAGAUGGACCUCACUGCAAACUGACCCUUCUCUGGCCAUGAGCUCAGUUCUCCUGUGCUCAUGGGGCCCGGACACUCCUCUGCGCUGACCUGAAGCUCCCCUCUCUCAGCACCCACUUGCGGCCUCACACCGUGCCCUCUAGAAGCACGGAUGGACUUUGGGUCUCCACAGCCAUCUCCCCCUCUGCGGUGUUUCCCUCAUCCGUGGCCAAGUCCAGGGCUUUGGCAGAGUCUGCAGAGACUUGGUGGACACCAGGGCAGGUAUUUGGCUACAAAACCUGCAGCCUCCCCACGAGGCCCAAAUGCAGCUCCAGCUUUCCACAGGAGGUCCCAAACCAGCAGGUUGGCCUGGCUGAUGAGCUGACCCCUCUGGGGCCCUAGAGACAGGCCUCUCCUUGCCAAGCCCUGCUCUGCAGCAGGGCAGACCACCCACCACCGAAGCACAGGCUCUGGCAAUGUCACUGACUGAUCCUUCUUAGCAGCUAAAACAUUGUAUGGCUGCCACCCAGGGGGCCAUGGAGGACCGUGGCAAAGGUGUGUUAGAAACAGGACUCAUUAUUCUUGUAACACGGCUAAGUUCUAGGAGGUAUAAAGAAGAAGGGGGUAGUGGGAAGAAAGAAAGUAUUCCUUCUUUGCAGUCAUCUCAAAUUCCAGGCUGAAGGCACUGCUUAUAAAGCCAUGGCUUGUAAUUGGUACUGAGACUCCCUCCAUCCUGCGCUGUAUCCGUUCUGACCCCUUCAGGACCCCGCCUCCCACACGACCUCCUCCUGGGCUCCACCAGACAGAUCUAGGCUUCAGCUCGCAUCUGCUGCUGUCCUUUCUCCCUCUGGUCCUCAGCUUUGAUGGGAUCCUCCAGGGGAAGCUAUUAGCUGUGAUUGCGGUGGUUCAACAGGGCGAGGUAUAGGAUGUCGUCAUUCCUGGGAUAUGCUGAUGUUUCCUCAAAUAUUAGACCUCCAGAAGUUUCACAGAGGCAAUAGACACCAAUAAUCUGGAAGAUACGUGGGUAUUUGUCUUUCCCUAGUAAAGAGUUUCCAGGUAAACGGCUGAAGGGCACUUUGGGGAAAUCUAGGAGUAAGUUCACAUCCCACGGUUGGAUAUUUUGGAAGAAUCCUUAACUCAAGUUUAUUCAGAUUUCCCUUUCAAGGGAUGCCAGGCCUCUGAACUGAUUCAGAUCUGGGAACCGAAUGAGAGGUCAGGAAUCUCCUUGUGCUACAAGUCAAGAGGACGGGGGCGGGCUUCCCAUCGUCAGCCCCAAGGACCUCAGGACCAGUCACGCACAGCCACGCUCUGUGUGGCAUGGACCAGACAGUAACCUCUAACGUGCAUCUGGAGGUGAAGAGUCACACUCCUUGAACUCUAACACCCUAGGACCCUCCCCACUGAAAUCAGAGAAUCCCUCCCCACUGUAAGAUCUCCAGCAAGUAUCCCUGUCUAUAGAGAACAGCUACUAAAAUGUAUUUCAAGGACAGAGAUGCUCCACACACCCAUGCAUCUUCUAAUAAGACUUUAGUGAAGGGAAUCAUUGUUUGAAUGGGCAAGUCACACACAAUAAAUAAGUAAUUCUUCUAAUCUUAGAGCAUGGGAUAUCUUUCCAUUUCUUUGAAUCAUCUUCAAUUUCCUUUGUCAAUGUUUUAUAGCAUAUGUCUUUCACCUCCUCACUCAGAUUUAUUCCUAGGUGUUUUUUAAAAUGCGAUCUUUAAUGGGAAUUUUUUCUCUUUCUGAUAUUUAAUUGUUUGCAUAAAGAGAUGAAAUAAUUUCUGUAUGUUAAUCUUGUAUCCUGCUACUUUGCUGAAUUUAUUAUCAGUUCUAGUAGUCUUUGUGUAGAGUCUUUAGGGUUUUCCAUAUAGAGUAUCAUGUCAUCUGCAUAUAAUAAUAAUUUUACUUCUUCCCAUAAUCUGUAUUUUGAUUAAGGAUUUCACAGUAAGUUUUAACAGGCUUUAUUCAGACUACUUGGUAUAUGUUAAUAAAAUGGAAUGAUUUCUAAUCUGCUAAAAAAUGAUAAGGAAGUCAGUGGAAAUAUUACAAUUCUAAAUCUAAAUGCACCCAAUAACAUAGUAUCAAAACAUAUAAAACAAAAUGGACAGAAAUAGAAAGGAGAAAUAAACAAAGCCCCAAUCAUAGGACUGAGGAGACUUUACCUUUCUCAAUAACUUACGGGACAGGUAAACAAUAUGGCAGUGGGGUGUGGAGGGCCCAUAACAGAGCUGGCAACCAUGGCCUAAUUGAUACACACAUACUAUUUUCACAAAGAUCAGGAUGCACGUGAGAAGGGACGGUGUCGUGAUAAGUAAAGGGGACGCAAAUGGACCCUGAGGUGGCCUGCAGGAUUCUCAGGGGACCUUCCUGCAGGGGAUUGGAUUCCUCCAACUCGCAUCUCCAGUGUCUCCUGCAUUGUAGGCAGAUUCCUUGCUGCU
rnacentral:tRNA from 1 species